CAAUGUUAAUGUCCCCAUAGCUUCCGCGGCCACUGCUCAGCCGGUAUCUGAUGCUUGGUUGGUUGGCUGCAUGCACACUUUAGCGAGUUUGGUUAGGUACAUACGGUUUUGUGCAAUGAAGCAUAAUUUUAACUAGAUCACAUAUUUGCACAGCGAAAAGUUGAGUAGUGCUCAUUAGACGGGAUUAGUUGAUCAAGUGGCAAGUAGUCAAGGGUGUAAAAAUUAGAAUCAAUUUCAAAGUAUGAAAUCCAUCUCGUUAUAUCUCAUCCGUGAGUUUGGUUGUUACGUAAAAGGGAAAAUUUUUAAGUGUUAGCGGGGGCACAGAUUCGAUUAGUUACGUAGUUGUUUGGUCAGUGAAAGUGAAAGGUGUUGAUUAAAUUAGGUCAGAACUUUCUCUUCAUGGAUGGCGUAGACGGGACACACUUAGAAAUUGGUGGCAGAUUUUUAGACAUCACUGUAAUUGCUAGUUUGGGUUUAUGGUUAUAUAUUUUAAUAUCAAAAGUAGUAAACUUUACCUUAAUUUACAUUAUUAGUACUUUGAUUUUGGUUUUGUAAAUAAAAUUAAUUCGUUUAUAGAUUUAUAAUUUGUAGAAAUGAUAGUUGUAUAGUUUACAAGCUGAAAUAAUUUUUAUUAUCAAAAACAGAGUUAAAUAAAAUUUAUAGAUUGGGUUUCGAUAGUUGGGUAAUAAUUAAGGGAUUGCCAAUUCUAAUAAUUAUAAUUAUUUUAAAAAUUGGGACUAUAAUUAUUAUUCUCCCAAUUUUUAAAUUCCGUACUAUUGUUAUUAAAGUAUUUUAAUUAACUAGCUGAAUUUUGGAACAAAUUACAACUAUAUAUUAAAAACAUACAAAAUUGCACAUUAACUUUGUCCCAUGUGUCAAUAAUUUGCUUGAUUAAAUAAAACUACAGGAUUCAUAAAACCCAGGUAUUUUCAAAAAGAAUGAAUGUCCUAUCUUCGCAAUGAAUAUCUAGUAGCAAAACUAUAAUAUAUUCUCACUUCUUACUUAUUGUUAACUUUACUGUUGAUUGAUUGAUCUUGAAACCAAAAUUUCCGGAAAAUCGUAUCCCCUCUUUUUUUUAAGAGUGCAUAUAUAACUAACGAAUUACAGACCAGAUUGUGAGCCGAUGAUGGCAUGGUCUCGUCGUCAUGUACAAGAUUUGUGUCGACGUGUCAUGUCCUUCUAUACUGAUCGGGGGACCUUUCUGCGGUCUCGGUAAAUCUUGUUCCACUCGAGUGACCAAAACCAGUCGACUAUAUAGUUGAACGGUUCUUGGCUUCAAUAGGCUGAUGAAUGGGGUGGGUUUUUUGUAGCUGUGGAGGUGAAUACCAAAGUGGAAAAAAUCGGUGUGUGGACAGGUGUGGAGAAAGUGGCGGUGGUGGAAUUCUCCGAGUGAAAAAUGUGAAUGUCAUGGAAUAGCAGGCUUCCACGAUUUUCUUUUUUUCGAAUGAGCAGAUAUUUAAUUACGUGAAAAUUACAUCAGUGUUUAGAUAUUUCUGGAGCGAAAUUGUAUCGAAAUUUGCUAGGGGGCGGUAUUCGAAUUUUGAAAGUGUCAAAUUCGUCUUAUGAAGGAAAAAGUAUUUUCCGAAAGCUUGUGACCAUCAGAUAAAUUUACAUCCAUGAGUUCCGAAAAAAUGUCUCUUAAGUCAAAUUUGUUGUUGGAAAUUUUUGCAAGAAAAUGUGAAUUUUCUCAAAAAUUAUUGUUACCAUUCAGAAAUAAAUCGUUACCAACUUGGCAACUCCUACGCAGUCCAUGAUACAUAGAUAAUUCCGUCAACUUAGUUUUAGUGCUGUCCAACCUUGCAAAAAUUCAAUUCAACUUUCUCCCUGUCACUUCCGUGUUUAUUUUCAACUCAAAAUUUGGAUUUAUGACGAAAAGUUGUAAAAGUGGGAGAGAGAAAGAAAGGUAACAGAGCGGAUAUUGGUUGAGGCGAGGCGAAAGAAAUUGUCACUUUCUUCCACUUUCCUAUUUUGCAAUCUGUCCCUUCCAGAGAGACCAGACCAGAGUACGUUUUGUUGUUUUGUGUUGUACUUUGAGAAAAGUUUUGUCCUUUUAGUUUUAUCUCUCAUUCUGUGAAAAUAGAGACAGGAGAUGAGUGCUCGUAUUAAGUGUGGCGUGGUGUGGGUUCGAGGAGAAGGCUGUGGCAGGGGCGGAAAUAGGAAGGGCCUUGUGCAACAAAGGGGAAAAAUUAAUGAAAAAUACAAUUUUGAACAUUUUUUUGCGGACUUUUCAAUUAUUCAAAUUUAUUACGAAGUGAUUUUUAAAACAAUUACUCAAUCAGUUAUAAGUCUACCAUAUUUUCCGUAUUAAAGACAUUACGAAAAUGGGAUAGACACGCCAAAACAUCUGGAAUUAAAUAUAAUUUUUUGCUUGUUUUAUGACAAAAAUAAAUUCUGGCUUAUAAAUUAUUCAAUUGAUUGAAUUUACUUGAUCUUGUAUGUUGGUUGAACUUCUUAAAAUUUUAUAAAAUAUUCUGCAUCAAAUCCUUUCAUUUUUAUCUAAUUUAAUAAAAUUUUCUCGUUUGAUAAACCUUUCACCAAUAUUUCAUAACUUUUUUUUAAAAUCUUUAAUCUUUUUAUCCUAAGCUAAAACCAAUGAAAUUCCCCGAGUAAAAAUGUGUGUGGCAGAUUGUACAUAAUUCGACAAAACCAUUAUGCUUAAUAUUUUACGAAUAAAAUUGUCUGGCGGUUUAUGCAGAAAGCAGGUAGGCGGCUUUGUCGAAAAAAAUAUGCAUAGAGGUCCAUGACGUUUUAUGCAUGGCAUAUAAGCCCAAAAAAAUAUGCAUAAAUUUGUUCCCCUUUUAUGAGUAAAAUUUUUGCCAUAAUUCUUAAUGCUAAACAAUUGUGUCGAAAAACAUUAUUUUUUCUACAAGGUUCUACUUUAUUCCAACUCUACAUUAUUCAUCAUUCGUGUUAACGAGCGUAGUUCACCACCAACAUCAUACAAGCAUAUAAAUUUCCAGAGAUCAAUUUUAUCCAUUGGCAAUAUUCUAAGAUUGUUGCUCACGGCCUGAACUUGAAAAGAAUCCAGUGAUAGCUUCGAGGGUAUUGUGCUGCACUUCUUCAAAAACAUUAAUGGGUGUAUACAUUCACUAAGUAAUAUUAUCUUAUAUAUAACAAAAAACUGGUCACCACUUCGAAUUACUGAAUUAACCCCUUUUUUGGUAUCCCUUUGAGCCGUGUUAAAAUACUUUUCUGCUAUUAAACAUGAGCUAUACGAAAUUCCUUGUGUUUCUAAAUAUCCCAAUCGCGACAUUUUAUUUCUUUCAUUAUUACUAAAGAUAUACAAUUUUCCAGUCCCAAACACAGUGCAACAACCAGCGGUGAAUGACUUCUUGAAAUGCUUGAUAUUUUCUGUGAACGACAAGUGAAGCGAUUUUGCUUCCGAAUUUCUAAAGCUACAUUCAGCCGUCGAGAGCAAACGCUGAGUAACCACUAUUCGUUUCACGAUUUGCAUUCCGACUUGUCUUGUUCCGCAGAAACUAUUAGUCAGAACACCGUUGAAGUUUUCAAAUUGAAACAGCGAGUAACUCCAAAGCGGACCCCAAUUUUGUACACAUUCCGCUGCAUGAAGCAACAAAUGGGCAUUAAACGAGCAAAAUCGGUCGCCAUACAAAUCAGGGAUCGAAAAGCAAAAUUUUUUGAGCAACUUCUUAGGUAUUUCGGUAUCGGUCACAAUAUCUUGGCAAAGAAGAUAUACUGCGUUCACCAGUUUUGAAAAAUGUUUGAGAUAACAACUUGGCAGGAUUCCUUUCAAUAAAUAGGUAGCCGUUAGCAUCCAUAAUUUCCACUCACUUGCUUUCCAAUAUUUCAUUUCACUUGUCUCCCGAAGAUGCCUUCUACAGUUUUGGGGAAAUUUUAGGGACAAGAUCAUAUUAUUUACUUCUGUAUACUUGUUGCCAAUAUAGAAUGGUUCCAGAUGAUUUUUAGAAUCCAUCCAAGCGUAUGUGAACGAUCUGACAACUCCCAAUAAAACUGUGUGCAUGUAAUCGAAGACGAAUCCCCAAACGAUGUCAAAUUUUGGCACGAGCAGUAAUUUCGAUGCUGUUUUAAUUCCAUAAUUAGAUGUGGUACGUUCUCCAUCCAUAAGUGAGUCCCGGAAUUCUGACUAGUGUCGGCAGAAUUCUGGGUGACUUCUUUUGACGUGGUUAUUUGAUGGGAUGAAUACCCACUUGUGACGUCCUUGUCACAGUGAUAAGGACUCCCCCCGAGCAAGACACCAUGGGCAGCUAUGUUCCCCGUUGAAUUGAUUGAUUCCUUGCAGUUGACACCGAGCUACCGAAUCGGCUGCCAGUAAGGGAAAGUAUACACGACUGUAUUUUUUCACAUCUUUGAACAUCCAAUUUACGCCAUUUCUUGAUAAUUCGAUUGCUUGUUGGAUAAAGGGUGCAAGAAAAAUAUCGAAAUUUGGUUUUUCAUCUCCAAACCACAAACCAGCAAGUAUUGUGUAUUUUCUUCGCAGUUGAUAACCCAGCUCGUUAAUGGAUAUUAGUAGAGGCCAAAUGCUGUAUUUUGAGCUAUUGAAUAUGGAGACGCCAUCCGUAUUGAUGCUGCAACUUAUGUCGUUGUCCUUCAAACCGAGCCCGUGGUACAUAUCGCCAUCUAUGAUAUCUCGUAUUUCGGACACCGCACCCAUCUGUCUUCUAGUCAAAUUUUCUGCCAAAGAUUUCUGUAUGGCUUGAAUUUGUAGUAAACCUUGUAGGGACUUUUUGAUGUCAAAGGAAACGAAAAAGUUACCCCUUGUCAAACACGUCGAGAAAGUAGUCGGAACUUGACAUUUGCCACAUUUAGAAUCGUCCUCCUUUAUUUCAACUUUGCAGUCUUUGCAGUAAGCUACCUUUUGAAUUCGGCUGUAAUCUCCUCCGACCUCUUUAUCAAAUAAAUAUGUGGACGUUGGAAUAGUAACGCCAUGAGGAACAUGGAAAUUGAUUAAGUUUAGCAAGUCUGACAGUGCUGUUUUGGUAAUUUUAUGUCGAAUUGAGUAACCCAGAAUUAAGAGAUUGCUUUCUUUCCGAGAUAUUCGUGCUCCUGUGUACAGUUCUUCAACUUCGACCUGCAAGUAAUAAUUAUUUGCAUGCCAGCAUAUUAUAAUAAAAGAAAACUUUCUAAUUGUAAAUUAAAGCUCACUUCAUGUUCGCUGAAUAAAUCACUGGAAUCGGAGUCAUCCUCAUUUGUGUCAGACGACUCGUUUCCAAAGUCCACCUCCGGUGGAAUUUCAAAUUCAGGAGGGCUAUUGUUUUCCCGUACAGUAUUCAAAUAAGCCUGUAAAAAUGAAAAUAUUUUACAAAUUGAAGAAAUUGUAUUUACAGUUAUUCAUUGAAAAAUUAAGUACCCUAGCAGUCCUCUUCCUGUGUCUUGUUCGUUGAGGAAUAUUUGAUAAGGCUGCACUUCCCGAGCACGAGAAAUAUUUUUUGUAAGAUUUUCUGCUUGACAUUUCAGCAUAUUUGUUUUCAAUAAAGCAAAUUUUGAAUAUUUCUUCCGUGAACGGGGUAAGUGUGGAAUGACGACAGCGCGGUAUACCCAAGCCACAACAUCGUGUUCUUAUUUAGCUGGCUCCUUCACUCCGUCUAUUUUUUUGAGUUGCCAAAAUUAACUAACAGAUAACUUCAAAUUUCUGUCGAAAUUAAAAAUGACCUUCCUAUUGGUAGAGUGGGUGUCACAAAAAGUUCCAAAAGAAUAUUCGGUAGUUCCGGCGGAAAGUAUUGAGGACGGAGCUAUUCGGCAAAAUGCGAAGUCUCUAAUAAACCAAAUUGUGCGUAUAAUUUGGAAAAAAGGUAAAAUUUUCCCUGCCGUAAUUUUGGAAACAGGUGAGUUUUAUCAAUUUAUUGUACAACUUUAAUUAUCGUGUCAAAUGAAAUCAUUCAUUACACCGAUUCAUUUAAUUAAUCAUAGGGGACGAUGAAAAGCAUCUCUGGGAACGGGCAGACUUCUACGGCGAAACAACAAAAGUUGGAGACAUUUCGACAAAUAAGCGAAGUCAUGAAAUUCUUGAAAUGCCCGUGAAGAAAAAGGGUAACACGUCUUGCACUUGAGUUUCUAAUCACCAUUGAACCUUAAUUAAGUGUCUAUUUCUUCCUUAGGGAAGCAAGCCCGAUUAGUAGCCGGUCGAGAACGAGCAGAUGCCAUCCAAGACGUUCUUGACUCUCUAGAAUCGGACCAAAUUAUUGACCUAAAUCCUGACACAAAUUCGUACAAACACCUAGUAUCGUUGACGAGGAAGAAGGUCGGAACUUGGGCGAAGGAACGACAAACUUCGAGGGUGAUUUAGUCAUAACUUAAACGUUUUUAUUAUUUUUAAUAUUUGCAACAUAAUUUGCAACAGAAAAGUACCAGUCCUUGAAGGAGAAGCACAAACGGCUGAAGCAGAAAUACAGAGAAUUGAAGCGCAAAUUUGAUCAAAGUGAUAAUAACAUCGAGCUUUUCGAUGGAUCAGGUGUAAGGAUCGAGUCUUCUGUGCUGGCGUCUAUGAGAGUGAUGUCACCAAAACCUACGAUACUUGCAAGAAAUCUUUUUAGACAGCUAUUCUCUGCUGAGGAGCUAUCCAACCACUCAUUGUUUGGGAAGCAAUCCAAUGCUAAUCGCGGACGGGAGACGCUCCCGGAAAUUGAUAGUGUUCGCAGAGAUGCCGUAAUAAAUUUCAUACUGAAAGACGAAGGCUUUGGUGAAGCGCCGGACACGGGUAACCCAACUGCUGACAAGGUCUUCAUAAAAGCAAGAGGACCCUAAAAAACGAGCUGCGGAAGACAUUGUCCGAAUUCCUCAGGGAGGAGAAGGCGAAGGCACGGGAUGGUAACAAUCAGUAAAAAUUCUAAUGAUUAUUGUUGUAUAUUACCCAACAAUAAAUUCGCUGAAUAAAGAUUACAAUCAAAGAUAUAACAAAAUAUUUCGUCAUAAUUCUUUAUGCAUAAAAACCAGCCAAUUGUCGUACCAAAGAUUUCGACAUAAAAAAUUAUGUACAUUGCAACCGAAACAAAUUAGUAUGCAUAACUAAUUCGACAUAACCAAAUGGAAUAAAAUAUUGUGCAUAAACUUUUUUGCAUAAAAACCAGCAAAUUCUUGCUUUAAUUCGGGCAUAAUUAUGCAAACAAAUUAUGCAUAAAAAUACAUGAAAUUUUCACCCGGGUCAUAUUUCACAAUUUUACCAAAUUUCUACUAAUAAACUUAAAUUUUAGUCUAUUUUUGAAUCCUACUUCACCCUAAUUUUUCCCCCACUUACUCCCCUGCCAUUCCCAACUUAUCACUUACCCCCUUCACUCUCUCCCACCCAC